UAUGUGAAGUUAGCUAACCAGCAAGCUGGUUACCAAACUUCACGAGUCUUAUUCUCACCUUCGGUGCUCAACGGAAA
rnacentral:ncRNA from 1 species